AGUGAACGCUGGCGGUAGGCCUAACACAUGCAAGUCGAACGGCAGCACAGUAAGAGCUUGCUCUUACGGGUGGCGAGUGGCGGACGGGUGAGGAAUACAUCGGAAUCUACUUUUUCGUGGGGGAUAACGUAGGGAAACUUACGCUAAUACCGCAUACGACCUACGGGUGAAAGCAGGGGAUCUUCGGACCUUGCGCGAUUGAAUGAGCCGAUGUCGGAUUAGCUAGUUGGCGGGGUAAAGGCCCACCAAGGCGACGAUCCGUAGCUGGUCCGAGAGGAUGAUCAGCCACACUGGAACUGAGACACGGUCCAGACUCCUACGGGAGGCAGCAGUGGGGAAUAUUGGACAAUGGGCGCAAGCCUGAUCCAGCCAUACCGCGUGGGUGAAGAAGGCCUUCGGGUUGUAAAGCCCUUUUGUUGGGAAAGAAAAGCAGCAGGUUAAUACCCCGCUGUUCUGACGGUACCCAAAGAAUAAGCAUCGGCUAACUUCGUG
rnacentral:rRNA from 1 species